UAAACACUAAAAUUCUACCAUGGCUGCUUCAACAAUGUCUCUCUCUUCUUCAUCAUUGGUUGGGAAGGCAAUCAAGCUUUCCCCCUCUACUCCAGACCUUGUCAUGGGAAGAAUUACCAUGAGGAAAACAACCACCAAGAAGAAUGUUCCUUCUGGAAGCCCAUGGUACGGUCCAGACCGUGUCAAGUACUUGGGUCCAUUCUCUGGUGAAGCUCCAUCUUACCUUACUGGUGAAUUUCCCGGUGACUAUGGAUGGGACACUGCUGGACUUUCUGCUGAUCCGGAGACCUUCUCUAAAAACCGUGAACUAGAGGUCAUUCACAGUAGGUGGGCUAUGUUGGGAGCCUUGGGAUGUGUCUUCCCUGAGCUCUUGGCUCGCAAUGGUGUUAAAUUCGGUGAGGCCGUGUGGUUCAAGGCAGGAUCUCAAAUCUUUAGUGAGGGUGGACUUGACUACUUGGGAAAUCCAAGUCUAGUCCAUGCACAAAGCAUCCUUGCUAUAUGGGCUGUCCAAGUUAUCUUAAUGGGUGCUGUUGAGGGUUAUCGUAUUGCAGGUGGACCUCUCGGUGAGGUUGUCGACCCACUCUACCCAGGUGGUAGUUUUGACCCAUUAGGCCUAGCUGAUGACCCAGAGGCUUUUGCAGAGUUAAAGGUGAAAGAACUCAAAAAUGGAAGGUUAGCUAUGUUUUCCAUGUUUGGAUUCUUUGUUCAAGCUAUUGUAACCGGAAAAGGACCUAUAGAGAAUCUUGCUGACCACCUUGCUGACCCAGUUAACAACAAUGCAUGGGCCUAUGCCACAAACUUUGCCCCUGGAAAGUGAGCCAAAACUACACCAUACCAAUGAGAAGUGAUUUCUGAAGCAAACAAUGAGAAUUCAUAUGCUUUGAGAAACAUAUGGUGCAUUUAGAUUUUUUUAAUUCUUUCAAGUUUGUACUUUUUAAGAGAGUGAAAUGAAUGUGAUUAUGUGAAUGAUGAUCAUGCAUAUUAUCAACACUGUAGCAGACCUAAUGAAAUGCCAAAGUAUUGUGCAGUUGAUUCUUCCAAAAUUCUAAGUCACUUGUGAUUGCAUCUAUUAUUGUCUGCAUUAUUGAUAAGUAUAAGAAAUCAAUUGUAAUUUUUCAAUCAAAUAAUAGGUGUAUCAAUGUAAAUAUAAAAUAAAAAAAUGUCUAAUUUAGUUUUAGUUUUUGUGUGUGUAGAAUAUAGAGACAGUAAGUGAUUUUAAAAAUGCUAUAACUUUUGCUAAAAACACUGCCAUUCAAUAUAAAAUCUAGAUUUCUUUAAAAAUGAAACAUUUCAAUAUUUUUUUUUUUUACCAUGUUAUAAGUACGAAAGUGAUUAAUCUCUAAAGGUUGUCAAAAUCGGGACUUUACUUCAGGUCGAAAAGGGAAUAGCAAAAUCAGGACUCGUAAAAUCGCAAUCAAAAUCGUAGGAAUUUACUCAACUACUCUUGUAGAAUAGAUAUAAGAAAUUGUAAAAUCGCAAUCAAAAUCGAUGAGUUUUACCAAAACAAAAAUAAUGCUAAAAACAUAGACCAAAACAUAAAUGACUCAGAUUAAAGUCCACAAAAUACUUAAACAUAAAUGACUAAAAAAAUGGAAAAAAUUCUUCAAAACCCUUUAACAUCAUGCAAUUUUGUUUGAAAUCUUAAAAUCGCGAUGGAUUUGAGUCGUUGAAGGUGAAGAAAGUCGCGAAAUUCUGGAUUUUAGAAUUUAAGUCGGAAUUUUGAAAACACCAAAAAUACAUAAGAUAUGUUCUCUCUUUUCAUCCGAAUUUUCUCUAUCGAACUUGUGAGCACUUGUUUAAAGAGUCCAAAAUUCUUACAAUUUGAAUCAAUCCACUACUAGUAAUAUUUGUUUCUUAUACAUAUCAACCAAUUACUUCAUUUUAAGAGAACUUGGUUUACAAUGUGGGAAGGAAUUUCCUAGACACAACAAAUCAUGAGUACAAAGCUUCCCAAUUCUUCUUGAAUAAGUUUUUUGAGCGGUGGAAAACUUAUGUUAAAGACUUGAUAUUUUUCAAAUGCAUGCAUGUUUUGCUCAUAUAAUAAUGUUACAAUUUUCAUAGUUGUUGUAUAUAUAAAGUAGUUUUUCAAAACUUAAAUUUAUAAAAUUUAAUAAAGAUCAACAUUGUGUCAAUAAAAAUUAAAUAUCAAUUACUUUAAAACUAGUCUUGGAAUUAUUUUAGGUCUCAAUUGAUAUUUAGGUUGGCCCUGGCAUCUCUAUUAACCGAUGAUGUGAAUAAUUAAUUGCAUAAUGUGGCCGUGAUUGAAUUCUCUCAAGUGUGAAUUUGAGUAAAGUGUGAUCUCUAAUCAUCCAUAUUUCUAAUAUCUUAAUUUUUCAUGUGUUUCUCUCUAACAAGAUAUCAUACUUGACAUCUUUUGUGAAAAUCACCUAGGAGAGGAUCCAUUUUCAAUGUGACAUUGCAGCUUAAAAAUGUCUGAAAUUAGUUAUGUCUACCACUCAAGAUAUAUAUUCUGUUAUAGUUGAGUCAGUUUAGAACGAGCCGGAUUGGUCAGUUCAAUUGGUUGAACCGAAAACUAAAUUGAAUCGUGCUUCGAUUGCAGUUGGCUCAACCAGUUCAACUGAUCGAUUGAACCAAUUUAACCAUGACUUGAGAGAAUCACAUGGUUGACUUUCAUUUCGGUUUUUAAAUUAUUGAGUUGAAUUUUGGCUGCUGUUAACUAGUAACUCCAUUUAUUUAUUUUUUUACUUAGUUAUAAUAAAAAAAAAAAAUAACUCAGGCAUUACAUAAAAUUUAAAUUAAGUUUUCACAAGACAGUUUAGCAAAGCAAAAUUAUUAGAUAUCCUUAUCAGUAGAAAGUACAAUAGCUAACUACGUACGGACAUGUGUAUUUUGCAGUGAUUACAAUAAAUACAUAAGUAGAAUAAAUUUGUUUUGUUCAUUUGAUGCAAACAGAAGAAACUAUUAAUGGGACCAGUGCACUGUGUGGUCCCUUUUCUGUAAAUCUAUUGAUUAUUAUCCCAUCAAGUAAUCAUAAAUGACAAUUUCUUAUUGGAUGGAACAAGUUUUUCAUGAUAUUCAAUUGUCAUAUUCUGGAUAUUUGAUAUUUUUUGAAAUAAUAAUUCUGAAGAGAAAUAUAUGUGGUUUGAGAUGUAAGUGUAAUGCUCCAAACCAAUAGAAAAUCAAGAUAUAGAUUUCAUAAGAUAUGGACCUCUAGUUUUUCUUGAUGAAUUAACAUAUAAAUAGUACCACUAGGACAUAACAAAGCAUCAUCAAUAACCAUCCUCUUCAUUUUCAAUAGAGCUAUUUAUUUGCAUUUAACUAAGUUGCAAAUAAAAUACUAGAAUGGCUACAUCAACAAUGGCUCUCUCUUCUUCAACAAUGGUUGGGAAGGCAAUCAAGCUUUCCCCUUCCACUCCAGACCUUGUGAUGGGAAGAAUCACCAUGAGGAAAACAACCAACAAGAAGAACGUCCCUUCUGGAAGCCCGUGGUACGGUCCAGAUCGUGUCAAAUACUUGGGUCCAUUCUCUGGUGAAGCUCCAUCUUAUCUCACUGGUGAAUUUCCU
rnacentral:lncRNA from 1 species